AUUGAACGCUGGCGGCAGGCCUAACACAUGCAAGUCGAGCGGAGCGGCGGACGGGUGAGUAAUGCCUAGGAAUCUGCCUGGUAGUGGGGGAUAACGUCCGGAAACGGGCGCUAAUACCGCAUCCUAUCCGAUGAGGCUAGGUCGGAUUAGCUAGGUGGGGGGGUAAAGGCCUACCAAGGCGCAGAUCCGUAACUGGUCUGAGAGGAGUAGCAGGCACACAGGAACUGAGACACGGUCCAGACUCCUACGGUAGGCAGCAGUGGGGAAUAUUGGACAAUGGGCGAAAGCCUUAUCCAGCCAUGCCGCGUGUGUGAAGAAGGUCUUCGGAUUGUAAAGCACUUUAAGUUGGGAGGCGUUACCAACAGAAUACGCACCGGCUAACUUCGUGCCAGCAGCCGCGGUAAUUC
rnacentral:rRNA from 1 species